rfam:Enterococcus phage phiEF24C DNA, complete genome.
GCAGAAGUGAUGGAACUGGUAGACAACGGUGUCUUAGAAACAUCGGUCUGUAAUGGACGUGUGGGUUCGACUCCCGCCUUCUGCA